GACCAUCCAGGGGCUUUAUAUCAACGACAUCGUUGAAGGAAUAAACAGCAAUAUCCGUCCCUUCGCAGAUGACACAUCACUUAAUGCUAUAAUAAAUGAUCCUGAUGAAACUGCUCUGUCUCUAAAUAAUGAUCUACGUAAAAUUUCUGAUUGGGCUGACAAAUGGCAAGUUACAUUUAAUCCUAAUAAAACAGAUUCUAUACAAUUCUCUCGUAAAGUUCAGC